AACGAACGCUGGCGGCAUGCUUAACACAUGCAAGUCGAACGAGACCUUCGGGUCUAGUGGCGCACGGGUGCGUAACGCGUGGGAAUCUGCCCUUUGCUACGGAAUAACUCAGAGAAAUUUGUGCUAAUACCGUAUAAUGUCGUAAGACCAAAGAUUUAUCGGCAAAGGAUGAGCCCGCGUAAGAUUAGCUUGUUGGUGGGGUAAAGGCUCACCAAGGCGACGAUCUUUAGCUGGUCUGAGAGGAUGAUCAGCCACACUGGGACUGAGACACUGCCCAGACUCCUACGGGAGGCAGCAGUGGGGAAUAUUGGACAAUGGGCGAAAGCCUGAUCCAGCAAUGCCGCGUGAGUGAUGAAGGCCUUAGGGUUGUAAAGCUCUUUUACCAGGGAUGAUAAUGACAGUACCUGGAGAAUAAGCUCCGGCUAACUCCGUGCCAGCAGCCGCCGUAACAC
rnacentral:rRNA from 1 species